rnacentral:lncRNA from 1 species
AAGUGCUAAAAACUAUUCAAUUGUCUUUGGAGGGCAUGAGCUUCAUCCAUUAUAAAAAGAGAUAAAAUUAUACCUUUUUUACAUGCCUAAAAGAAACAAUAUGGCUGAAAUUCUUAAGAUUACCUAUGCAAUGAUUCUAUUUCUUUCCUUAUUUGUUGAUUCAGCGAAAUUUGAUUGUAAGCCACUUUUUCAUCCUUUGCAAAUUUUCUUAUUUCAUGUGUACACAAAUAUUUUAUCUCGUUUUUAGGCGGUACGUGUAUUAGAUUAAGAUUUUAAAGGAUUUGACAAAUCUUGUAGUAUUCAAUCAAGAUUUUUACAAAAGUUAAAAAAAAAAAAAGUGCUAUUGAAUUAAGACAAUUAAGAUUUUUUUUCAAGGCAACAAAAUUUCUUGAUAUUCAAUUAAGAUUUCUCAUCAUUUUUAAAAUGUCUAUCGGUAUUUAAAAAUCUAUAUAUUUUGCAAUAUAUUUAUAUGCUUCCCAUCUUAAUUAUAUCAAACGUUAAUCAAACAAUUGAAACAUUGCAGUAGAUACUAUUGCAGUUGAGGAUCCGGGUAGUAAGCGUACGCACUUUUUCAUUCUUUUUUAAUAUCCUUAUUUACUUUGUACACAACAUUUUAUCCAUUUUAAUAACAUUGUUUUAUUCUCUUAUUUCAUUAUUAUUAUAGCACUUGUAUAUGAAUGUGAAAACGAUGACGAUUGUCUUGGAAGGAUUCCACCUCCUUUCCGUAUGAAGUGCAUUGACCACUUUUGUGUAAUUUAUAUGAAGGAAUCCGAUGAAUGGGAAUGAGCUCUUUAGCUAAGCAUAAUAUCUAUGCAAUAUAUCUUAUUCUAAAAAAUAUUUCAUGAGUUGUUAUUUAGUUAUUAAGAUGGUACCAAUAAUAAUUAAAAUAAGAAUCAUUAAUUUUUAUUUAUGUUUUAUAUUAUAAUUUCAAAAAUCUUGAAGUUAUAUGACUUGUACUUUAAGAUGAUGGUAAUGAAAUAAAAAAGCAGCAAAUAUUAUAUUAUUUA